GGGUUAAGUCCCGCAACGAGCGCAACCCCCGCCUUUAGUGCUACCAUUCAGUUGAGCACUCUAAAGGGACCGCCGGCGUUAAGCCGGAGGAAGGUGGGGAUGACGUCAAGUCCUCAUGGCCCUUAUGUCCAGGGCUACACACGUGCUACAAUGGGCGGUACAGAGGGUUGCCAACCCGCGAGGGGGAGCCAAUCCCAGAAAGCCGUCCUCAGUUCAGAUUGGAGUCUGCAACUCGACUCCAUGAAGGUGGAAUCGCUAGUAAUCGCGGAUCAGCAUGCCGCGGUGAAUACGUUCCCGGGCCUU
rnacentral:rRNA from 1 species